rnacentral:lncRNA from 1 species
GCUUGUUUAAGAUUAAUAUAUUCUAUCACAUACUGGGAUUGCAGUGAGCCUGCUUUGUUACAAGGAGAUAAAUAUAGUGUGAGAUUAUAAUUACAAGUGAGAUAGGAGGCUGGUUCAGAGAAGGAAGUGGGAUGUGAGAAGAUGAGCACAAAGCCAAUGCAUACUUGGUGGGCUGAAUAAACUAUUCAGGGCUGAACUAUUUCUGAACACUGUGAAGCAGCACAUUAACCUUCAAGCUCACUGACACCAGCACUUCUACCUUUCUAUCUUGUCACUUCUGUGUCUGUUCUGGAGACGCUUUAUUGACUUGGAGCAAGGACUGCUUGCUCCAUAGGUGGGGGUGGAGGGAUGCAUUUCAGUGGCUAGGCAGACUCACCUUCACGAGAAUGCUCAGCUGGGCAGCUCCCCGCUCAUCCAGUGGACCCAGGUUCUGACUGACCAGUGAACAAAAACUGUGACAGAGAUCUAGGAUCUCAUUCAGGCAGUGAAACACCUACCCAAAAAUAUAGCUGGCAUUAAAUGAAGAAAUCUCUGAGAAUUGCAAGGUUUGGGAAAAUAGUUCUUAACAGCUGACCUCCCAUGUCUGAUCUCAGCAGAGACACCACAACCUUCAAAGCUGUCUGGCCCUCCAAAGCAACAUACAGAAUGAACAUCCCUUCCUGGGACAGCUGGCUUCUCUGACUCCCCGCACAAAACCUCUGCUCUAGUCACCGUUAACUCAUCAUUUCUUAGACCCACUGAGUAUGCUCUUGCCUUUGAGCUAUGAGUGUUGUUCCCUGGGCUUUCUCUUCUCUUUAAUAACAGUUUAAGCCCCAUUCUCUGUGAAUUGCUCCUUCCCCACUGCAGCCUUUAGUGAUCUCCACCCUUCUUCUGCUGUAGUAUCUGUGUUGUCACUGGUGAUUGUCCGGGCCACCUGUGCUGUUCCUGACUUUUGUAUGUACAUGUCUUGUUUUCCAACUAGAUUGUGAGCUCCUUAAGGGCAGAGCCAUGACUUAUACCUCUUUGUAUCCCCAGUGCCUUGCAUACAGUAAGCACUCAAUAAAAACUUCAAUUAUGAC